GGAUGGGGUAAAUUGUCUUCAGAGAAAAGCUUCUCAAAAGAUCUUAAAACAGCUUGAAGAAUGGUCUGGGAUCUUAGGACUGAGAGAUCAUCUGGCUGAGAACAAGCUACACCUCAUCAGUGCUGGACAUCAACCACAAACUGUUUCCAGACACGAGAGAAGAAGAUCACGAUGGGGAGAUGAAACCAGUUUAGAUGUGAUGAUGGGAAUCAUUAUUUUCUGAAACAGUAUCACAUGUCUUAUAUGUAUCACAUGAUCUGUAUCACAGUUGACUGGAUGGGACUGUGUGACUUUUAAGGACAUUUCAUCACUCAUCUGUGUGAACUGAUUUAUAUAUGAGGUUAAUGUAUCUUUGAUGAUAAUUAUUUUCAUUGAAUCUUAUUUGUCUUGAUGCUACUUUAUCAAGUUUAUAGUCUAUGCUUCAAUAAAAUGAAAAUGGUGAA